GACGAACGCUGGCGGCGUGCUUAACACAUGCAAGUCGAGCGAUGAAGUUCCUUCGGGAAUGGAUUAGCGGCGGACGGGUGAGUAACACGUGGGUAACCUGCCUCAUAGAGGGGAAUAGCCUUUCGAAAGGAAGAUUAAUACCGCAUAAGAUUGUAGUACCGCAUGGUACAGCAAUUAAAGGAGUAAUCCGCUAUGAGAUGGACCCGCGUCGCAUUAGCUAGUUGGUGAGGUAACGGCUCACCAAGGCGACAAUGCGUAGCCGACCUGAGAGGGUGAUCGGCCACAUUGGGACUGAGACACGGCCCAGACUCCUACGGGAGGCAGCAGUGGGGAAUAUUGCACAAUGGGGGAAACCCUGAUGCAGCAACGCCGCGUGAGUGAUGACGGUCUUCGGAUUGUAAAGCUCUGUCUUCAGGGACGAUAAUGACGGUACCUGAGGAGGAAGCCACGGCUAACUACGUGCCAGCCGCCGCGGUAA
rnacentral:rRNA from 1 species